UGAAGGAUAACGUUGCGUCAGCAACGGCCCGUAGGGCGAGGCGAAGCCGAGUCAUCCUGCACGACCCACCA
rnacentral:sRNA from 2 species